GGGAGCGGCGCGAGGACUUGUAGGAAAUGUAAUGUGCACUUUUUGGCCCCGGUCGCGGGAGCCGCUUUGGGCUUUCUGCGCAUGUGCGCGGUGUGGCUCGAGGUUUGUUUUUCUCCGGUGCAGCCUGGUAGGGAGGGCUCCCGGCAUCUCCCUGCGUCGGGGCAGAGGAUGCCGAGGGUAGAGUACCGGAGGGCUGGAGCGAGGGUGGACUGGAGGUGCCGCUUGUCCUGGAGGUGGGAGAGAGGGAGCGGCUUUGCCGCCUGGCCUGCGUCCUAAUCCUGCCCUGGUUCUUCUGCUCCCGAAGGGAACGCAGGUCCCGCGCCUGUGACAAGUAAGGUUGGAUUUUCUCUCCCCUGAGGUGAAGGAUGCCCGGAGGCCUCGGCAGGACCGCGCGGAAACGGGCCUUCUGCCCAAAAGAUGCUGCUUCUCUCCUUAUUCUUUCCCCUCAGAAUCUCGCUGUCUCCUUCCAACCACCUGUGGUCGGCAUCCCCGCGUUGUCACUGCGACGCAGAGGUCGCAGCUUCAUGGCCUGAUGCCGUCAGGAAGUAUUUUGAAGUCAUCGUGGCUGUGGAUUGGGGGAUUUCUUGUUUCCACUGACCUGUGAGGCCGCGCACGUGGAGGGAGGCACCCCGGGUCCUCCGGCACUGUCCGGCCUCGCCUGUGUCCCUAGUAGCAGUGGGCAUUUCCAGACGGUGCAGCUUGUGGCUAAAGUGACAGGAAGAUGUAGGAGCUUUCAGUCUUGGAUGAGGAUUCGAACUGAAAGGGUUAGGCCCAGCUGUCUUGGAGCAAAACAUCUGUUGUGGGACUCCCACAGGCUGGGUGAUGGUGGGAGAUUUGUGCCCAUUCAGAUGUGGCGGCAGAGGAGGGCAAGGCCGAAGGAGCAGACAGCACCGCUUCUUGGGGAGUUGUGAAGGCAUCAUGCGGAGGGCCGAGCUUAGCAGCCAAGUGGAGGACAGCAACCUCCAUGCCUGGAUUCGUUACUCGCUCGUUCUAGAUGUUGAGCUGCUGGCAUAUUGCAGCACAACUAGAGAUGUACGGAUGCCCCCAUCUUGAUCUUACAGAAUCAGAGGUGCAGCCGCAAGAAAGCUACACCCUCUCGGUUUUCUCUGCUCUGCCAACACUAGUGGAAUAUGAUCACAUCCCAGGGAUCAGUGUCAUUUAGGGAUGUGACUAUGGGCUUCACUCAAGAGGAGUGGCAGCAUCUGGACCCUGCUCAGAGGACCCUGUACAGGAAUGUGAUGCUGGAGAACUACAGCCACCUUGUCUCAGUAGGGUAUUGCAUUCCUAAACCAGAAGUGAUCCUCAAAUUGGAGACAGGCAAGGAGCCAUGGAUAUUAGAGGAAAAAUUUCGAAGCCAGAGUCAUCUGGGUGGGUUAGUGCCAGAUGGAAUUUAAAGAAUUAAUUAAUACCAGUAGAAACUAUUCAAGAACGAAGUUCAAUGAGUUUAACAAAGGUGGAAAAUGUUUCUGUGAUGAAAGCAUGAAAUAAUUCAUUUUGAAGAGGAACCUUCUGAAUAUAAUAAAAAUGGGAACAGCUUCUGGCUGAAUGAAGACCUCAUUUGGCAUCAGAAGAUUAAAAAUUGGGAGCAACCUUUUGAAUACAAUGAAUGUGGGAAAGCUUUCCCUGAGAAUUCACUCUUCCUUGUACAUAAGAGAGCUUACACAGGACAGAAAACAUGCAAAUAUACUGAACAUGGGAAAACCUGUUAUAUGUCAUUUUUUAUUACUCAUCAGCAAACACAUCCAAGAGAGAACCACUAUGAAUGUAAUGAAUGUGGAGAAAGUAUCUUUGAGGAAUCCAUUCUCUUUGAACAUCAGAAUGUUUACCCAUUCAGCCAGAAUUUAAAUCCCACUCUAAUUCCGAGAACCCACUCAAUUAGCAAUAUUAUUGAAUAUAAUGAAUGUGGAACCUUUUUCAGUGAAAAAUUAGCCCUUCAUUUACAACAGAGAACACAUCCAGGGGAAAAACCUUAUGAAUAUCAUGAAUGUGGAAAAACCUUCACCCAGAAGUCAGCCCACACAAGACAUCAGAGAACACACACAGGGAAAACCCUAUGAAUGUCAUGGAUGUGGGAAGACCUUCUAUAAGAAUUCAGACCUCAUUAGAAAUCAAAGAAUUCACACAGGGGAGAGACCUUACAGAUGUCAUGAAUGGAGAAAUCCUUCAGUGAAAAGUCAUCCCUUACUCAACAUCAGAGAACACACGCGGGGAGAAAUCAUAUGAAUGUCAUGAAUGUGGGAAAACCUCGUUUAAGUCAGUUCUAACUGUGCAUCAGAAAACACACAGGGGAGAAGCCCUAUGAAUGCUAUGCAUGUGGGAACACCUUUCUUGGAAAAUCCGACCUCAUUAAACAUCAGAGAAUUCACACAGGAGAAAAACCUUAUGAAUGUAAUGAAUGUGGGAAGUCAUUCUCUGAGAAGUCAACCCUUACUAAACAUCUAAGAACACACAGAUGGGAAAUCUUAUGAAUGUAUUCAAUGUGGAAAAUUUUUCUGCUGCUACUACAGUUUCACAGAACAUCUGAGAAGACACACAGGGGAGAAACCUUUUGGAUGUAAUGAAUGUGGGAAAACCUUCCAUCAGAAGUCGGCCCUAAUUGUUCACCAGAGAACUCAUAUAAGACAGAAACCCUAUGGAUGUAAUGAAUAUGGAAAAUCAUUCUGUGUGAAGUCAAAACUCAUUGCACAUCAUAGAACAUACAAAGGGGAGAAACCCUAUGAAUGUAAUGUUUGUGGAAAAUUAUUAUUAAGUCAAAACUAACUGUACAUCACAGAACACACUUGAGGUGAAACCCUAUAAAUGUAGUAAGUGAGGGAAAUUACUCUGGGUGAAGUCAGAACUUUGUAGAGCAGAGAACAUAAAGGGUGAGAGAAAUCUGUUAAUAUAAUGAUAAUGAGAACACCUUUGCCCUGAAGUCAGUUCUCACAGUAGAGAAGAGAACUUAAAGAGGGAAAAAACAAUAUGAAGAUAUGGAAUGCAGGAAAACAUUAUUCUGGGAUUUGGGCCAUAGAUUAUGUUUAAAAACUAAAAGUGAAAAACACUUAUUGGUGAAUGAAUAUAGGAAACAUUUUGCUCAAUGCCACACCUCAGUAAACAUCAGAGAGUUCACACAGGGUGAAACCUGGCUCAGCAUCCCUAAGUUGAGAAGGGAUGCAUUUUUUUUUGCUACUACUACAGUUUCACAGAAUAUCUGAGAAGACACACAGGGGAGAAACUUUUUGGGUGUAAUGAAUGUGGGAAAACCUUUCACCAGAAGUGAGCCCUAAUUGUUCACCACAGAACUCAUAUAAGACAGAAACCCUAUGGAUGUAAUGAAUGUGGAAAAUCAUUCUGUGUGAAGUCAAGAGGCCACAGAAAAUGCACAAACUAUAGGAAAGCAUUUACUAUGAGGUUAUAUUUUAUAGAGUAUAUGUAAUAAGAAGUACCUUCUUAGUGAACAUCAGAUAGUAGAGGAAGUAUUUUUAACUGUAUCCAAUGUGUGGACAUUUUAGGUUAAAAUCUAAAUUUAAU
rnacentral:lncRNA from 1 species